GAUGUCUGCAGAGGGUCCCUGGUUCGAGCCCGGGUAUGGAGGAGGGGACGGACGUAAAGUUGUACUGUUACACUACAACACCUGUCUUUGUGGGAACAUGCUGUACCCUACCAACCAGGUGUCAUGAAGAACAACAGCUGUACCCUACCGACCAGGUGUAAUGAAGAAGAACAGCUGUACCCUACCAACCAGGUCCCAUGAAGAAGAACAGCUGUACCCUACCGACCAGGUGUAAUGAAGAAGAACAGCUGUACCCUACCAACCAGGUGUCAUGAAGAACAACAGCAGAUGCGCCAAGUCUUCCCAGAGCCACCAGUCAUAAGAGACGUCCUUCCCUAAAUGACAAAUUAGUCCACAGCUAUCUUCCCGGUGACUCUCAAUUUUUUUUGGUCUGGACCGCAAACCCGGGGUGAGGGGGCUCUUUUAAAUUCAACCAGAACCAACCAUCGCAGAAAUAUUGCACAGGUAAAGUAUUGGAGUAUCAAGUCAAGCAUUUCAUUAACUGCAAAACCACUCAUGUCAUCUACAGAUUGGAAUGUCCACAGUGCAAGGUGUUCUACACUGGAAGGACAAAGAGACUCCUUCAAGACCGCUUAGUGGAACACAAGUACGCCACACGGGGUUGUGAGAGGUCCCAUUGCUGUCAUCUAGUGGAUAUUUGCCCUCAGCUAAGUUUAGACUGCUGUCCUUGUUUGCUGUGUUCUAGUGUACUAUGGAAUAGAUGUAUCUCCUAGUCUUACCACUUUGCCCAGUCAUAUUCAAGGUUAGAACUACCUUUCUAGGCAUUCUGAUGCUUCUAGCCUUGAGAUGUUUUUUUUCGAUAACAUAUCUACAGUAUUUCACCCUUUAAUGUGUAUCGUAUUGCUUACUAGGUGUUGUCCAAUCAAUGUUGUAACCACUCCCACUUCUAAUUAGGGCUGAUUGGAAAAAGCUGAUCAAAAGAGGACAUUGCAUUAUCAUAUCUGUGUACUCCCUGAUAAAGGCCAUGCAGCCAAAACACAUCAGAGGUUGUAAACUUUGUUUCCAUUGAACAUGCCAUACAAAUAAUACUACAUAUGUAUAAUUGGCCAAUUUUUAUUAUUAUUUAUGAACGGUCCAAAAAGCACUUUUUAUGAGGUUUUAAAAUUAACAAAAUUUCUGAUUUUCAAAAUCUCACCCUUGGGAUCUGACUGAGACCAUUUCCCAUAUGAACAUGGACAGUUGCCUGCUCGCGCCCCCCUGUGGGAUUUCCGGUUUCUUACACUUGGCAUUUGUAAUGUUCCGGUUGCAAUAUGGUUUUGAUGAACUGCCAUCCAUUUGAGUGGUAUUUGUGAUUGUGUACAUGGUUCGCCCAAUGCCAAUAAGAUGCCAUUCAUUUCAUGGGGGUCUUCCCUUACAUAAGUAUUCACACCCCUAAGUCUAUACUUUGUAGAAUCACCUUUGACAGCGAUUACAGCUGUGAGUCUUUCUGGGUAAGUCUCUAAG